UAAACACUAUUAUUAAUUUAUUGUUUCCAGACUAGUGAAAAACAGUAAAAUGAAGUUCUCUUCCUUUAUCAGUGCUUUCUCUACCCCUUUUGCCCUGAGGAUCCUAUUAGCAGAAAGCUGAGCAACUCUGUUUCAUCAGAAAUAAAUUAUGCCUCACUUUUUUAAUAAUUACUAUGUGAAUAGUCACCAGUAUUGAAGAGAAGACAAGUGUUAAAAUUACCAGCACUAAGGAAGAUAUGGAAAGCUGCAAGGGAGAGGUAUGGAAAUGUACCCAAACCAUCAGAGAAAAAGGCCUCAAGCAUAUUUCUACUGCCUUCUACUCUGUAGCAAGCCUAGCAAUCCAUUCAGUAAGCCCGCAAACCAGGACUGCUGUGGAAAUGCCGUUUGUCCCAGUGGUGUUUCCAGGGGAUGAGGGCAGUCAGGAAGCAGUAAGACUGCCAUUCUACUUGACUGAUUUGUGAGCAUAGCAGUGAUAAGUGACAUCUGUCUAAAUACAACAAUGGUAACGAUGACUAUUGACAAAUAGGAACUUUGUGUGUAACACUUGGUUAUGCACAGGAACACACAGAACGAAGGCAGACAGGUGUGUGCUUUUUCUCUCCUUGCAAAAAAAAACAACCACCUAGCCGGUGUUCUGUAUAUGAAGAUGAUACUUGUUGCAACUCGUUCUACUUUGCAGUGUUCAACAGUGGCUAUUAGCAAAGGUUCAACCAAUGCACUUUUGGGUAUGCACAUGAAAAACAGCUUCACACGUUAGCAGAGCCAACAGCAUUUAGGUUCAUCUGGUUUUUGGUGCUUUGGGAAGACUAUAAAUGAAGAGUUAAUUGAACAACAGCAAAAUACAUAUCAAGACAAUCCCACAACCCAUUUUUCGAUAAUUGUUUCUUCUCUUAAGAGAACAUUACCUCUCUCACAGAUGGUCAGAGUGAUGCAUUUGGGGAAAUCAACCAACUUGGCUUUCUUCCUGAUCUCUCUGCUUAGUAACUGCAGCGUUUAACCCCAGAAGUAUUACUUAACUUUGCUCCAGAUACCAUUCUAAUCAACAAUAUUAGGCUUCACAGUUGGAAAACUCUUUCUAAGGUCUCUGAACCUAAUUUUAUUUUUCUCAGUGUUUUAGACAUUUGGAAACCGUUUGCCAAUGUAAAGUUUGGUUACUUACGAAUCGCUUGAAAUAGGCUUACAUAAAUACAGCUUGUAGGAGGUUGAAGGAAUCGUGUGAAUUUCGUAAUUCUAGGAGUUGUUCUUGUAUAGUCAUCUUCCAACUGAAAUCAGUGGUGCAUAGAAAGGAAGAUAUGUUAAACAGUUAAAGCACUGAUAUAGAGACUGGGAUCUGACUUUCAAGUUCAGUUCCUUCUCUGAGAUUCGGUCUCUGUGCUAUAGUACAGUAUGCACAUACUGGUAUUUUCACAUUCUGUGGCUUUGAGACGUUAAAAAUAGGCGCCCAAGUACUGGUAUAAGGACUGGUUAACAAGCCCCCAGAAAUACUUGGUUUGUGUCUGUGUGGUUGCGGUGGACAACUGGUUGCACUCUGCUUUCAGACAGAGUGACCUUCAUCAGUCAGAAGCAUCUCAGUGCUCAGGGGUGCAGGCAGAGAAGGGACUUAUCCAUCUUUUUCACAGCAAGUCCGAGUUGGGUGGAAUAAAGGAGCUUGAAAUCUAACCUGUGCUUUUUGU
ensembl:lncRNA